rnacentral:rRNA from 1 species
UACGUAGGGUCCGAGCGUUGUCCGGAAUUACUGGGCGUAAAGAGCUCGUAGGUGGUUUGUCGCGUUGUUCGUGAAAACUCACAGCUCAACUGUGGGCGUGCGGGCGAUACGGGCAGACUGGAGUACUGCAGGGGAGACUGGGAUUCCUGGUGUAGCGGUGGAAUGCGCAGAUAUCAGGAGGAACACCGGUGGCGAAGGCGAGUCUCUGGGCAGUAACUGACGCUGAGGAGCGAAAGCAUGGGGAGCGAACAGG